GGCACUUCACUGCGAAAACACAACAGAGGAGAAAGACCAAACGAUCCACUCAGGUUCUAUUUGCAAAAGACUGAGAACAGAGCCAGCCACAGGAUACAGCCAUGUACCAGCUGCCAAAAACAAGGGCAAACACCUGGGAGUAUGAACCCUCUUUCAUGACAGGAGAGCUGGUGGAGUUUGAGGGAAGCAGCACAGAGCAGAGCAUGGAGGAGUUUGUCCAGCUGUUCAAAUCCAGAAGCCGGUGAUAAAGAGACACCUCCGAGAACUCAAAGAGAUUGCGGAUGGCUUGGAUGAGGCCAGCAUGAACGCAGCCCUUGCUAAGACUAUUGGGAGCUUCGUAGGGGCGGCCGGGGGGAUCAUGACCCUAGCAGGGCUAUUCCUGGACCCCGAGUCACCCACAGCCUGCAGUUUGCAAGAUAUCGGAGAGAAAGGGGUCACCUUAGGACAGUUUGCCAAAACCGCCACUGAUAUAACCCAGGCCGUCAGUGAGAGAACACAUAACCAAAGAGCAGAUGAGAUACCCAGACCACCCCCCCAACCAGAGUUGGAUGCUUCUGUCAUCACCAAUUGACGGUUGUGUAUCACUCCUAUCGUUACGCCUUCGCUCAAGUGAGAGGCCAGCGUAGCGCUUCCCAGCAUAGAUGAGACACGGUCAGCCGACAGUGUCUGUCGCGCUUGGGGUGCAGCCAAAGGCACUGGGCCACACUUGGAUCGGGCGCUUGGAGUAACCUUUGUUGGGUGGGUGAUGAAGCCACGGCCAUCAGACCCAAUAGUUUUUAACACAACACCAAUUGUACUGUGAACCCUUGUUGAACAGGGCCAGACAGUUGCAAAUGACAGCUACUCUGUCGUCUGACAGAUAGGCUUGCAUCGUAUGGGACUCCAGCCGGAGACUCAAGUAGAUUUAAUUGGCUCUGGCAUUGUUGAGGGUGAGACCCAGCCUCAAACAGAUGCUUCAUCACAAACAGCUGUGUGGGCCACUGCUCCUUCCUGUGACUGGGCAGAUCAACCAGUCAUCCAGGUAAUUCAUCACCCUGAUCACUUGCAGCCACAAGGGAGCUAGGAUGGCAUCCAUGCACUUUGAAACGUGCGGGGUAAGGAGAGGCUGAAUCACAGCACGGAAAACUCAGGACGCUCCCCUGUAAGGCGGAGCGGAGACACUUCCUGUGUGCUGGACCCAUAGGAACGUGGAAUCCGCGUUCUUUCGGUCCAGUGUGAUAAACCAUUCGCCGGGCCGGACCGCCUGCCGAGUACAGCGUACUCCAGCAUCUUGUUCUCUACCUGCCGAGGCACCUUGUGUUUUCGGUGGGAGCGCUGCAGCAAUUCCUCAACCGCUGGUCCAAAGUAAUGGUCAGGGGAGGUAGGGGCUGCUUUUGAAGGAUGGAGCCACUUUCCCAUGAGGCUGCAACAUAAUCGCAGUGGUCCUCCUCAGCAAAGCUGAAAUCUGAUUCUGUAACAUCUGGGGUGAUCAUAGCAAGGGCUUGAGCCUGCUGCCUGGCCAGGGGCUCCCAACGCCGUGUACGGCUCAGCCAUGUAUUGAAGCACUCAGGCACAAAGGUUGCAGAUGCACCAAGAACACUGAGUGACAUAGAAUACACUACUGGUGCACCGAAGCAUCAGGGACACCGAGUGCAGAUGUUAUUGACAUGCUGUGGCACUAAGCACCGAGGCAUGGAGCAUCUAAACACCGAGGGCACCAGAGCACUGAGAGGUGCCCAGCCUUAACCGUGUGAAGUCAACACAACCCGAGGUAGCGCAUAGCUUAUACCGGGGUGGAUACACAGGCUCGAGUGGCUGUGGUAGGCAAACAGGAGAGCAGUACAGGGGAGUGCACGGUGCUGCACCCUGGUGCAGAGCGGUGAUAACCUGGUCCUGGACCGCGUACAGUCACACAACGUGGCAGCGCAUAGCGUAUGCCAGAGUGAAGCACAGGCUCAAGGAGCUGCAGGAGCUGCGGCGCGUUAGGCAGGAAUAAAAGUGUACUGCUUUCUUAACUGCAAAGGCAGUAAUAGGAAAAAAUACAGGCUUAUACACACAGCCAUUCAACUAUGGGAGA